rnacentral:lncRNA from 1 species
AUCUGAGUGUAAAUAUGUCCAUGAACAGAGCUCUUCUGUCAGAGACACUCACUCCUUCACAUCUGAAACACACAACCUUAAAACAUCAGGACAAUCGAUCAUGAGAGGGUUUAGCAGAACUCUGCUCAUCUCCGUCUGUCUUCAUCUCUAUUUUAAUGUGACCAUCUGCCCCUUCUACACCUCAGUUGAAAAGGAUUCGGACUUGACUUUGACCUGCAUUCAUAAUGUUCCCAACGCCUCCAUCAGCUGGCUAGAGGACGAUGUGUUACAGCAAGUAGAAGAUAAUACAAAAACAUUUCAUAUCAAGCGCAUUAAGAAAACCUCAGUCAUCAGCUGCAACGUUAGUAGCAUGUGUGGGAGCUUCAACUCUACGAUAACAAUUUAUGUAAAAGGUGAUUGUACUGCUCAGUAUUUCUGA